AUGGUGGAGCCUGUAGUGCCUUCUGCCCCGCCUCUGAUUUCAGCCUCCACUGCUGUGCACAGACCCAUGGAUGCUGAAAUCACCCAGAACCCAAGAUACAAGGUCACAGGGACAGGAAAGAGGGUGAUUCUAAAAUGUGACCAGACUGAGAACUAUGAUUAUAUGUACUGGUAUCGACAAGACCCGGGGCACGGGCUGAAGCUGAUCUACUAUUCAAACGGUUUUGACAGCAUUAACAGAGGAGAUGUCCCCGAUGGACAGACCUCAGGGCAAGGACUGAAGCAGCUGGUUUACUUCAACAAUCAAGCUUCUAUAGAUGACUCCGGAAUGCCCAGUGACCGCUUCUCAGCCAAGAUGCCUGAGAAAUCACCCUCCACCCUGGAGAUCCAACGCACAGAACCCGGCGACUCGGCCACAUACCUGUGUGCCAGCAGUUUAGACACAGUGCUGUAG